rnacentral:rRNA from 1 species
GACGAACGCUGGCGGCGUGCUUAACACAUGCAAGUCGAACGGAAAGGCCCUGCUUGCAGGGUACUCGAGUGGCGAACGGGUGAGUAACACGUGGGUGAUCUGCCCUGCACUUCGGGAUAAGCCUGGGAAACUGGGUCUAAUACCGGAUAGGAGCCAUUUUUAGUGUGAUGGUUGGAAAGUUUUUUCGGUGUAGGAUGAGCUCGCGGCCUAUCAGCUUGUUGGUGGGGUAAUGGCCUACCAAGGCGGCGACGGGUAGCCGGCCUGGGAGGGUGGACGGCCACAUUGGGACUGAGAUACGGCCCAGACUCCGACGGGUGGCAGCAGUGGGGAAUAUUGCACAAUGGGCGCAAGCCUGAUGCAGCGACGCCGCGUGGGGGAUGACGGCCUUCGGGUUGUAAACGCCUUUCGCUAGGGACGAAGCUUUUUGUGACGGUACCUAGAGAAGAAGCACCGGCUAACUACGUG